rnacentral:rRNA from 1 species
UACGAAGGGGGCUAGCGUUGCUCGGAAUCACUGGGCGUAAAGCGCACGUAGGCGGAUCUUUAAGUCAGGGGUGAAAUCCUGGAGCUCAACUCCAGAACUGCCUUUGAUACUGAGGAUCUCGAGUCCGGGAGAGGUGAGUGGAACUGCGAGUGUAGAGGUGAAAUUCGUAGAUAUUCGCAAGAACACCAGUGGCGAAGGCGGCUCACUGGCCCGAUACUGACGCUGAGGCACGAAAGCGUGGGGAGCAAACAGG